GCUCCGAGAGGCCCGGCGCCAGUCGGUGGCAGCUGAAUUUGUGGGAGCCCUACUCAGCUGCCAGACUGAGGAGAACCACCAGAAAAAACUGCAGCCCAAAAGCCCCCCAAGAAGAACAGAAAAACCGUCUCCUGGGAAGAAGAGGAGUUCUACUCAGCGGACCAACAGUCUUUUACCAACAUCCAGUCAACAUGGCGAAGAUCCUUGGCAGGCAACUGAGUGCGGCCAUGUUGACCGACCUAGUGGUCCAAUUAUCCCAGGGUCUCCGUGAGAGAGAGGAGGCUCUUGCCGAGGCCGCAGCGGCUCUCCUCCGGGCCNUCAUGCAGGCCUGCGCUGCGGAUGUGGAAGACGUAAGUAGACAGAACGGAGGAGAGAAGGGAGGAGGAA
ensembl:lncRNA